rnacentral:rRNA from 1 species
GGGUCUUGGGAUAAUUGGGUUUAGUGUCCUUAGGUUUGAAUAGUACUAGGCUGGGUGACCUCUCAGGAAGUUCAAAUUCAGGAGCUU